CUGGUAUAGAAUAUUAUACUUUAAUAUGGGGUUGUUUAAAAGUGUUUCUUUAUGGUUUUCGAGGCAUUAAGGGCAAAAUAAGAUAAUAAUAAUAAAAUAUAAAAUAUUCUGAUAUUUCAGUAACAUUUAUUUAUUUUUAUUCUUAAACACAUUUAUUUAUUUAUCUGGAAGCUUUUUAUCACCCUUAGCUUGCUUGAUCAUGGAGUGAGCGUUGGCGACUAUAUUGAGGUUGGCGACACCGAGGCUGGUGGUGGUGGGGAUGAAGUUGGUGGUGGUGGGGAUGGAGGUGGUGGGGAUGGAGAUGGGGGUGGUGGGGAUGGUGGUGGUUUAUUUGGUGGUGGGAAGCAACUGUUACAAGGAGGGGCCAUAAUCAUUAUGGACAAAGUAAUGACAUACACCAUGGCUAAUGAAACCUUUGAACACCUUGACAUCUUCCACUUUUUGCAAACUUAUUUCAAAAAAUACAUUACAGUGUUUAUUGAUUUAUAGUUGAUUUUUCUGAGUACGUGGGUGUUUACAUAUCUUUAAUGAGAAUUUAUUCAAGUAUAUGUCUAUGUUAGUCAAAAACUAAUUCUUGUUAUACACGGUUAGUUAGGUUUUUGUUUUAAAAAUUUAGACUAUAGAAGUUUGGCCAUUAUUGAGAUCGAGGAAAGCUCAAUUCUACAAUUAUCUCAAAAGAAAGAACUGAAAUAAUUAACCCAGAAUGCAGUCUGGUGCUCACAAUCUGGUGCUCACACACACAAUUCUCUACUCACUAAUCAUGUUAACCCCCUCGCCUGUUAGACCAGGGUUAAUUUUUCAAGGAUUCAUCCAUUGGCCUCCGUUGGCCCCGGUCCGUGGUUCGGGCGAGGGAAGCCCAUGGCCUGUUUGGCCCGUGGUCCGCUUGGAUGGGCCUCAGUACCAACACCAGUGUUGAUAUGUGGACAGCUUGGUUUUUUGUGGUAGAUGCCUAUCCUCUAGGCUUUUAAUCUGUACAAACAACAAUACCACAA
rnacentral:lncRNA from 1 species